rnacentral:tRNA from 5 species
GGGGUUAUAGCUCAAUUGGUAGAGCGCUUCAAUGGCAUUGAAGAGGUCAGCGGUUCGAUUCCGCUUAACUCCACUA